rnacentral:rRNA from 1 species
AUUGAACGCUGGCGGCAUGCCUUACACAUGCAAGUCGAACGGCAGCACGGGAGCAAUCCUGGUGGCGAGUGGCGAACGGGUGAGUAAUAUAUCGGAACGUGCCCAGUCGUGGGGGAUAACGCAGCGAAAGCUGUGCUAAUACCGCAUACGAUCUAUGGAUGAAAGCGGGGGAUCGCAAGACCUCGCGCGAUUGGAGCGGCCGAUAUCAGAUUAGCGAGUUGGUGAGGUAAAGGCUCACCAAGGCGACGAUCUGGAGCUGGUCUGAGAUGACGACCAGCCAAACUGGAACUGCGACACGGUCCAGACGCCUACGGGAGGCAGCAGUGGGGGAUUUUGGACAAUGGGCGAAAGCCUGAUCCAGCAAUGCCGCGUGCAGGAUGAAGGCCUUCGGGUUGUAAACUGCUUUUGUACGGAACGAAACGGUGAGCUCUAAUACAGUUUGCUAAUGACGGUACCGUAAGAAUAAGCACCGGCUAACUACGUGCCAGCAGCCGCGGUAAUAC